CCUACGGGAGGCAGCAGUGAGGAAUAUUGGUCAAUGGCCGAGAGGCUGAACCAGCCAAGUCGCGUGAGGGAAGACGGCCCUACGGGUUGUAAACCUCUUUUGCCGGGGAGCAACGGGCGUCACGUGUGGCGCCACUGAGAGUACCGUACGAAUAAGCAUCGGCUAACUCCGUGCCAGCAGCCGCGGUAAUACGGGGGAUGCAAGCGUUAUCCGGAUUUUUUGGGUUUAAAGGGUGCGUAGGCUGUGAGGUAAGUCAGCGGUGAAAUGCCCCCGCUCAACGGGGUGAAGUGCCAUUGAUACUGCCUUGCUGGAAUGCGGAUGCCGUGGGAGGAAUGUGUGGUGUAGCGGUGAAAUGCAUAGAUAUCACACAGAACACCGAUUGCGAAGGCAUCUCACGAAUCCGCGAUUGACGCUGAUGCACGAAAGCGUGGGUAUCAAACAGGAUUAGAUACCCCGGUAGUC
rnacentral:rRNA from 1 species